CUUGAAGUCAGCUUAUCCCCAUCCCAAAUCUCUCAACCUUAAGUGCCUCAACAAAAAGGAAGAUGGAAAUUCUUGGCUAAGCUCCAUUCCUAAAUCCCCCCGAAUGACUAUGAAAUUUAUCCAAGCUCACCCCAAACCCGAAGCCCCAAAUUUCCCAAUUCCCCUGAAACCCGAAACACCAAAUAAAUAAAAUCAAUUACCCAAACUCUAUACAGUUGUUGUCGACCACAAGAAGAGGCCAACCUACGUGUAAAAAAGUAGCACCCAUUUCAUUUUAUAUUUCGUGCAAGACUCGUUGGCGAGCACAUGGACGAAACAAUUGAAGGUAAAUGUGAAAAACCCUUUUUCAUUUCUGAACUCCAGAUAUAUGGUGUUGUGGGUUGUAUGAUUUUUUUAAAGCUCAAUGGUUUGUAAUCCCUAAUUAGUUUUGCAUUGGAGAAUUUAAUUGCAUACACGAUCAUUUUGGUGAAAUUUUGUUUCUCUGUUGGUUAGCUUAGUGUGGUUUAUUGUUUACAUUUCCUGAAAAUUGACUGGAUUGAAUGUGAUGAUUUUAAUAUAAUAUGGUUUUAAACAGUUGAACAUAGAAUGUUUCUUAAUCAGUUAUCAUUAUGAAUUACUCAACUUAAACUAUCACUCCAUUUGCACACAAUGAAACAGAGAGGUAGAUGAACGAGUAGGUAACGCAAUUUCAUUUAUUCAUACUUCUAAAUAUUUGUUAAAUUAUAUCAACUAAUAAAUGUGGUUUAUGUAAAAGGGUAAAAUGGUUGCAUAAAGAGGGAAGAGAGCUUGAUUAGCGAUAAAUGCUGUAGACGAUAAAUCUUUCCAAUUCGUGCCCCUAUGGUAAAGUGUGAAUCGCGGUCGGGAUGUAUUUGAUCUAGACCAGUAGCAACUGCCUGCAGUCGGUUGAUCAAGCAUCAUGUUCCAACCGAUAAUGUCAAUUUCGACGAAACAGUUGAAGAAUUACAGAAACGUUAGGGGCUGAAUCUACCAAUUUGAGGACAACAAAGGAGCGAGGACAACAAUUUGCUAAAUCUGCUAAAUUGAAAGAUGCAAAGCCACAGUAGUGUUGGGGAAAGUUAUGUAUAGUUCUUGGACAGUGGCGAUUAUGGGUAGCGUUUCAUGUAUUUUUGCACACAGACCAAAUCUAUUGGACAGUCAGGACAGAGGCUUUCCAAUUUAGUAUUUUUUUUGUACAGUCACGAUAGUGAUGUACAUUAAUGCUUGGUUUUGUUUUUUUGUUUUUUGUUUUUUUUGCACAGCCAUGGUAGUGUUAAGAUUUGGGGUCCAUCUCAAUAAACUCAACCUUAUUAAGAGGAGUGAUCCAAAAUCUAUUUAAAUUGGUCAAUAUUUCGGUAUUUAAUCGAUGUAGAAUUUAUUCCCUUAACAUGCCCCGCAAGAUGAUGACUCUUUUUUAGCAGACCAAUCUUGAAAUCCG
rnacentral:lncRNA from 1 species